CAGUAGCCGCGGUAAUACGUAGGGUGCAAGCGUUAAUCGGAAUUACUGGGCGUAAAGCGUGCGCAGGCGGUUUGUUAAGACAGAUGUGAAAUCCCCGGGCUCAACCUGGGAACUGCAUUUGUGACUGGCAAGCUAGAGUAUGGCAGAGGGGGGUGGAAUUCCGCGUGUAGCAGUGAAAUGCGUAGAUAUGCGGAGGAACACCGAUGGCGAAGGCAGCCCCCUGGGCCAAUACUGACGCUCAUGCACGAAAGCGUGGGGAGCAAACAGGAUUAGAUACCCCAGUAGUCCCUGUCUCUUAUAC
rnacentral:rRNA from 1 species